UCUGCAACUUUUUUUCCCUAUUCAUAUCAUGAACUUACGGACUGCUUCCAUACAAUCUGAUAGUAGAAACUAUCAGCUCUUGCUGUAUAACUCAACAUUUGAUACUAGAAAUUUCGACUGACUAAUCAUGCUUCAUCAGGUUGACAAGCAGCUUCCGAACAGGAAACGUAAGCGGAGGAUCUGCUACAGUUUUGAGGCAGCUUGUCUGUUGCCAGUUGCCGGGUGCUUCCUCAAGGUCUUGCUCAUGGUUGAUCUCGAAAAUAUGUCUCCCGAAAUAAUCUUGUUUAUCUUCUUCGGUGGUGGCACCUGGUAGAAAAUUUUCCUGGGCAGUCUUAGACAUUAAUUCAACAGUAAAAGCAUAACAUCAUGCAAGUAUACCAAAUACUGAGAGCGUAUCGCAUUGGAUUAUUAGCAGCGCUUUGUUUUUGUCGUCUGGUACCUAUUUUUUGGCUGGCGGUUAUUACAAGAGCGGUCUCAUAUUAUAAAUUAUUAUAUAGGGCGUUCAUUGGUUGUGACGCUGGGAAUUGAGGAAAUAUACAUUGCUUAUACCGUAAAUUUAGAAACA
rnacentral:lncRNA from 1 species